rnacentral:rRNA from 1 species
AGCGCAGGCGGUUUCUUAAGUCUGGUGUGAAAGCCUUCGGCUCAACCGAAGAAGUGCAUCGGAAACUGGGAAACUUGAGUGCAGAAGAGGACAGUGGAACUCCAUGUGUAGCGGUGAAAUGCGUAGAUAUAUGGAAGAACACCAGUGGCGAAGGCGGCUGUCUGGUCUGUAACUGACGCUGAGGCUCAAAGCAUGGGUAGCAAACA